rnacentral:lncRNA from 1 species
UCCCUGGCACAGAGGAGCACAUCUCUCCCUGGCACUGGAGAAGAUUUAAGACAGAGAAGAAAUAAGUGGAAAAAAGGAGAAAUCAGGCAUCACCUUGGCCUGAGGGAAUCCCCAUCUCACUUCACAGGCUAGCCAGGAACCUUGCUUUCUGGGGGUCAGCAGGGUGUCAUGGGUGAGGUUGGGGGUUGGUGAGUCCCCCCCUCAGCUUCCUGACAGGCCCAAGGACCUGGUGUCAGCGGCAGCAGGAUCAGGCCAGAAGGAAGCACCCCACCCCCACAAAUCUAGUUGACCUGCCUCUGAAGGUUGGCCCAACUCAGAGCCAUCACCAGCAACAGCAGCCCCAGCAACAGCAAAGAUCAUUUAUUGAUGCUUGCUGUGUGCCCUGCCCUGGGCUCUUCGUUACCUUUUUUAAUCCUCACAAACCUCAUGAGUUUAACUAAACCCAUUUAACUGAUGAGGUAGUUGAGGCUCAGGGAAAUGAAGUGACUUUCCAAGGUCACCCAGUGUAUAAGUGGCAAAGACAGGAUUCAAACCUGAUCUGCCUGACUUCAGAGCCUGCAGAUGAUAGCAAAGCUGGGCCACCAUUACCCCUUCCCCCACCAUGCCAACUCACCCCCAAAACCAAGGCCCCUCCUGACAGCAUCUUCUGCACUCUGCAACCUCUGACCUCUUCCUUUUCAAGGUCUUCCCAGCCUCCCAGCCUACCCUUCCAGAACUGGAGAGAGCAGAGCGUCCUCAGGAAAGUUCUUCGGCUUCUGCCUCCUCACAUCCCAGGGCUGUUUAACUCCAGCGUCUCAAAAACAAGAUUCAUG